ACGGUGGUAAUGCCGGAUGCUCCAGUUGACCGCAUGGUCCUCUGGGAAAGCUUUUGCGGUAUGGGAUGGGGUCGCGUCCUAUCAGCUUGAUGGCGGGGUAACGGCCCACCAUGGCUUCGACGGGUAGCCGGCCUGAGAGGGCGACCGGCCACAUUGGGACUGAGAUACGGCCCAGACUCCUACGGGAGGCAGCAGUGGGGAAUAUUGCACAAUGGGCGCAAGCCUGAUGCAGCGACGCCGCGUGCGGGAUGACGGCCUUCGGGUUGUAAACCGCUUUUGACUGGGAGCAAGCCCUUCGGGGUGAGUGUACCUUUCGAAUAAGCACCGGCUAACUACGUGCCAGCAGCCGCGGUAAUACGUAGGGUGCAAGCGUUAUCCGGAAUUAUUGGGCGUAAAGGGCUCGUAGGCGGUUCGUCGCGUCCGGUGUGAAAGUCCAUCGCUUAACGGUGGAUCCGCGCCGGGUACGGGCGGGCUUGAGUGCGGUAGGGGAGACUGGAAUUCCCGGUGUAACGGUGGAAUGUGUAGAUAUCGGAAAAAGAACACCA
rnacentral:rRNA from 1 species